UGGGGAAUAUUGGACAAUGGGCGAAAGCCUGAUCCAGCCAUGCCGCGUGUGUGAAGAAGGUCUUCGGAUUGUAAAGCACUUUACGUUGGGAGGAAGGGCAGUAAGCGAAUACCUUGCUGUUUUGACGUUACCGACAGAAUAAGCACCGGCUAACUCUGUGCCAGCAGCCGCGGUAAUACAGAGGGUGCAAGCGUUAAUCGGAAUUACUGGGCGUAAAGCGCGCGUAGGUGGUUCGUUAAGUUGAAUGUGAAAGCCCCGGGCUCAACCUGGGAACUGCAUCCAAAACGGGCGAGCUAGAGUAGGGCAGAGGGUGGUGGAAUUUCCUGUGUAGCGGUGAAAUGCGUAGAUAUAGGAAGGAACACCAGUGGCGAAGGCGACCACCUGGGCUCAUACUGACACUGAGGUGCGAAAGCGUGGGGAGCAAACAGG
rnacentral:rRNA from 1 species